GAUGAACGCUGGCGGCGUGCCUAAUACAUGCAAGUCGAGCGAAUGGAUUAAGAGCUUGCUCUUAUGAAGUUAGCGGCGGACGGGUGAGUAACACGUGGGUAACCUGCCCAUAAGACUAGGAUAACUCCGGGAAACCGGGGCUAAUACCGGAUAACAUUUUGAACCGCAUGGUUCGAGAUUGAAAGGCGGCUUCGGCUGUCACUUAUGGAUGGCCCCGCGUCGCAUUAGCUAGUUGGUGAGGUAACGGCACACCAAGGCAACGAUGCGUAGCCGACCUGAGAGGGUGAGCGGCCACACUGGGACUGAGACACGGCCUAGACUCCUACGGGAGGCAGCAGUAGGGAAUCUUCCGCAAUGGACGAAAGUCUGACGGAGCAACGCCGCGUGAGUGAUGAAGGCUUUCGGGUCGUAAAACUCUGUUGUUAGGGAAGAACAAGUGCUAGUUGAAUAAGCUGGCACCUUGACGGUACCUAGCCAGAAAGCCACGGCUAACUACGUGCCAGCAGCCGCCGUAA
rnacentral:rRNA from 1 species